rnacentral:tRNA from 1 species
AGACUAUACUCUGGUGUAAAGUGCACACAAAGCUUUGAUCUUUGGGGGAAUGGUGUCGAUUCCAUUGAGUGUAA